rnacentral:rRNA from 1 species
AGUCGAGCGGUAACAGGAAUUAGCUUGCUAAUUUGCUGACGAGCGGCGGACGGGUGAGUAACGCGUAGGAAUCUGCCUGGUAGUGGGGGACAACAUGUGGAAACGCAUGCUAAUACCGCAUACGCCCUACGGGGGAAAGGAGGGGAUCUUCGGACCUUUCGCUAUCAGAUGAGCCUGCGUGAGAUUAGCUAGUUGGUGGGGUAAAGGCUCACCAAGGCGACGAUCUCUAGCUGGUCUGAGAGGAUGAUCAGCCACACUGGGACUGAGACACGGCCCAGACUCCUACGGGAGGCAGCAGUGGGGAAUAUUGGACAAUGGGCGCAAGCCUGAUCCAGCCAUGCCGCGUGUGUGAAGAAGGCCUUCGGGUUGUAAAGCACUUUCAGAAGUGAGGAAGGGUGUAUAGUUAAUACCUGCAUGCUGUGACGUUAGCGACAGAAGAAGCACCGGCUAAUUCCGUGCCAGCAGCCGCGGUAAUACGGAAGGUGCGAGCGUUAAUCGGAAUUACUGGGCGUAAAGCGCGCGUAGGUGGUUCAGUCAGUCAGAUGUGAAAGCCCCGGGCUCAACCUGGGAACUGCACCUGAUACUGCUGGACUUGAGUACGGUAGAGGGUAGUGGAAUUUCCUGUGUAGCGGUGAAAUGCGUAGAUAUAGGAAGGAACACCAGUGGCGAAGGCGACUACCUGGGCCGAUACUGACACUGAGUGCGAAAGCGUGGGGAGCAAACAGGAUUAGAUACCCUGGUAGUCCACGCCGUAAACGAUGUCUACUAGCCGUUGGGGGACUUGAUCCUUUAG